GCUGAAACCUUCGGGGAUGUAGUCUGCAGAAGGGAACGUCGAGGAUUCGGAUCCCAUCGAAGUUGUCUGAGAUGGCACGCCAAGGAGGGUGAUAGCCCCGUUCGUGGUGAGGAUUCGAGUCCAGCACGUCUCUUCGAAGAGUCGAGUUGUUUGGGAUUGCAGCUCUAAUGGGUGGUAAAUUCCAUCUAAAGCUAAAUAUGGAUGGGAGACCAAUAGCGAACAAGUACCGUGAGGGAAAGAUGAAAAGCACUUUGAAAAGAGAGUGAAAUAGUACCUGAAAUUGCUGGAAAGGAAAAGUUGGGAAGCAGUGGGGGGAUAGGUACUUGUACCUGUUGACCGGUUCGGCUUGCUUGGGGAGGCGGAAGAAGGUCGAGGUGUUGUUUCAGCCCUCGUGUCCUGUCGUCUGCCCGAGCGACUCGAACAAAAUGCUUCUCAACAACCCGUCUUGAAACACGGACCAAGGAGUCUAACAUGUGCGCGAGUGCUCGGAGUUGUACCUCCCAGCGCGAAAUGAAAGUAAAGGUAGGCUUCGGCCUGCUGAGGUAACAAGGUUUCAGUACCUGCCUUAUCGACCGACCAUGAUCCUUCGGGUGAAAGGUUUGAGUAUGAGCGCAAAUGUUGGGACCCGAAAGAUGGUGAACUAUGCUUGAGUAGGACGAAGCCAGGGGAAACUCUGGUGGAGGUCCGUAGCGAUUCU
rnacentral:rRNA from 1 species